ACUUUUCAAACAGCGAAUCGCUAUUCGCUACUUUUUAAAAUUGUUAUAUAGCAACCGUUCGUAGAAUAUAAUGAUAUUAAGACACGGUUUGCUUAAAAGAUUAUUUUAUACAGUAAAGAUUAUUUUAGCGCAUUGAAAAGUGGCACUCCUGAACACUGUAUAGUGCUUACAAAAAUGUUGCUUUGACCCUUUUGUUUACUGUUGCUACUCGUAAGUCGAUUUGUUAUAGGUUAAAUUACAACCUGAGCCCAAAUACCGUAAAACUAAAAAAUAUAGAGUAGCGAAAUAGCGAAAUAGUUCGCUACAUUUUUUAAGCAGUAGCUGUACAUAGUCAGUAGCGAACUACUUUUGUUCAAAAGUAGCAGUAGUUGUAGCUGACUACAUAUUUUUGAAGUAGCUGUAGUUAUAGCGAACUACAAAAAUUUUGUAGUCAACCCACCCUUGCUAGGCACUAGCUUUAAAACACCUGGACACAUUUUAUAUUAUCUUAAUGUUUAAUACUAGUGAUAAAUUUCAAGCGAUGAGAAUAUAUAAUUUAACUCAUAUCAACGAAUUAAUGUGCUAGAUAUUUAGUAGAGAGUAGAGUCUCCCUGGAAUUUUAUAAAUAAAACGGGGUGUAUUAAUGGGCGAGGAAGGGGCAUGGACAUUUAUAUACGCCUGUAUUCUAAAAGCUCACACGCUCACACUUAAAGAGUGGAGAUAUAAUCUGAGCUCCCCUUGAGUGUGGUUUUUGAAUAGCUGGAGGAUGAGUAGUCACAAUAAGCCCUGGGCUUAUAAUUAUAUACUUUCGUAAACGAUUUUUGAUGGGCUUAUACAAGGGGGGCUUAUAUACGGGUGGGCUUAUACAUGGACAAUCUUUUGUGUUAGUAAUAAACAAGUCAGACAUAAACAAGUCAGUCAUAAACAGGGAGUAAACAUGUAUUAAGCAGCGAUUACUGGGCUUAUAUUAAUUGGGGGACCUAUAUUCAGGGGGCUUAUAUUCGAGUGGGCUUAUAUUUGGAAUGAGGUGAGUGUUAGUACAUGUGGUGGGCUUAUACAUGGGGGGCUUAUAUUCGGGGGUCUUAUAGUCGGAGCUUUAUGGUAUAACCCUUGUACAGCUAUUCAAAAACUGCACUGUCUGACACUCAAGGGAACCUCAGAUUAAACCUCCACUAUUUGAGUGUGAGUGAGCUUUUAGAACACAGGUGUUACGAUAGAACCCGAGUUAGCGAGGAUUUGAGUUUAAAUUAAUGAGGUUGGUGUUGGAUUUUGUUUAUUAUGUUGCUGUUAUAGUUAAUAACUAUAAGGUAUAGUCGUUUUAUCACCACAAUUGAUCGAGAGUCACUAUGGUACACUCUACAAAGAAUUUCUAAAGUCUGUACUACUGUUACCAGUCUUCAAUUAACAGUACAGUACCUACCAACAGUACAUGUACAUACAAGCUAGGUCAGUAAUAAUCAACGCUUUACGACAUAAUAAUUGAACUUUUUUCUCUCUAUCGACUAAUGUAUUACAUUUGUAUAUAUUGCAUACUGAUUCAAUUGUUGUUGUCUAUUAAAAUUGCAAUCCAAGCUUCCAAGUUGUCAAUGUGCUAAUUGUUCUGAUAUUUUGAGGUUUGCCGAUCCACAUCUAAAAAACACAGUUCAAGUUAUCCCAGGUAAAUUUGACCAAGGGAAAAUGAAAUUUGUAUGAGUUAGCAAGGAGGUCGAGUUAAUUCAAUGUUCGAGUCAGUGGGGUCACUUCUACUAUUGUGUAUAGUUUGCUUAAGACUUGAGAUCCUUAAAGCUAG